rnacentral:rRNA from 2 species
AAACUUUCAACAACGGAUCUCUUGGUUCUGGCAUCGAUGAAGAACGCAGCGAAAUGCGAUAAGUAAUGUGAAUUGCAGAAUUCAGUGAAUCAUCGAAUCUUUGAACGCACAUUGCGCCCCCUGGUAUUCCGGGGGGCAUGCCUGUUCGAGC